CAGUCGCCGCGGUAAUACGUAGGGUGCGAGCGUUAAUCGGAAUUACUGGGCGUAAAGCGUGCGCAGGCGGUUGUGUAAGACAGGUGUGAAAUCCCCGGGCUUAACCUGGGAACUGCAUUUGUGACUGGCGGGCUAGAGUAUGGCAGAGGGGGGUAGAAUUCCACGUGUAGCAGUGAAAUGCGUAGAGAUGUGGAGGAAUACCGAUGGCGAAGGCAGCCCCCUGGGCCAAUACUGACGCUCAUGCACGAAAGCGUGGGGAGCAAACAGGAUUAGAUACCCCCGUAGUCCCUGUCUCUUAUAA
rnacentral:rRNA from 1 species